rnacentral:rRNA from 1 species
CCUACGGGAGGCAGCAGUGGGGAAUUUUGGACAAUGGGCGCAAGCCUGAUCCAGCAAUGCCGCGUGCAGGAUGAAGGCCUUCGGGUUGUAAACUGCUUUUGUACGGAACGAAACGGUCGCCUCUAAUAAAGGUGGCUAAUGACGGUACCGUAAGAAUAAGCACCG